AGUUAAUGAAGAAUAAAAUUGGACAGUUUUAAAAAAUGUGAUUAUACCUAAAAAUUUUAAAAAGUUGCACUUUAAUACCUAAAUAUUUUUUGUUUGCUGUAAUAAUACAUUUUGUCCAGAAAUUGAUACAGCCAUUGGUACCCGCUACUAACGGAGGAACAUGAGUACACGUGGCUCCCAUUCGUUCGUCCACGUCCUUUAAAUAAUGUCACGUAAUACUAUAUUUUUGUUUUUUUUAAAAAAAAUAAUAAUAACUAAAAUAAACUUUUUAGAAAUAUUAUAAAAAAAUUAAUAACUAAUUAAAACCCAGAAAUGAUACGGUGAAAAGAAAGACCCAAACUCUUCAAAAAAAUAAGUUUGGGAAUACCCAAAAAUCAUUCUUCUCUUUCUCUCCUCCUAAAUUGCUAUUCUAUUUCUCCCCCACAGCCAUUUUCCGCAGCAAAGAUAGCCUGAAAAAUACAGAUUUCGUCAUCACUCGUAGGAAGAAAGGAUUUGGGGUAAGGGCUAGUGGUGCAAAUGAGAAUUUGAACCAAUAUGAGGGUUGCUACUGUGUACCACCAAUGGAAGUGGUGAUUCGAACAUCAUGGACGAAGAAGAAUCUUGGGAGAAGAUUUAAAACUUGCAAGAAAUUUUGGUAUGUUAGAACCAUGGUGGGUAUGAUUAUUUCGCAUGAGUUGACUCUGAGAUGUGCCCAAGGUCUAAGGUUGUAAUCCCACAGCAUAUUUCUACAAUUCAAAGUCUUAAGAGCCAAGUUUCUGCCGCAAAUGGUCCAGAGUUUCUUACUAGAGAAAGAGAUAUGAAUAUGAUUUACUCAUCUUCUAGAAAUGAAUGUGUUUAUGGUGUCACUGGCAGUAACUUUGCUGAAGUUGGGGAAAGUGAGAGUUGUGUAGGUGGAGCAUAUGUACAGAAAUCAAAGAAUAAAUGGAAGAAUAUAUUCUACUUUGUGGUUUCUUUGGUUGUCUUAAUUUGGUUGAUUAAAAGAAUUUAACUCAUUAUUUUAUUCUAUCUAGAAGAAGAAUUGUUAUUGUAUCAACUCAUGGCUUUUAGAGUUGUUUUUGUGUAUAUGGUGGGUCUGAUUAUUUCGCGUGGGUUGACUCUGAGAUGUGCCCAAGGUCUAAGGCUGUAAUCCCACAGCAUAUUUCUACAAUUCAAAGUCUUGAGAGCCAAGUUUCUGCUGCAAAUGGUCCAGAGUUUCUUACUAGAGAAAGAGAUAUGAAUAUGAUUUACUCAUCUUCUAGAGAUGAAUGUGUUUAUGGUGUCACUGGCAGUGGCUUUGCUGAAGUUGGGGAAAGUGAGAGUUGUGUAGGUGGAGCAUAUAUACAAAGAUCAAAGAAUGAAUUGAACUUUGUGGUUUCUUUGGUUGUCAUAAUUUGGUUGAUUAAAAGAAUUUAACUCAUGGUUUUAUUCUAUCUAGAAGAAGAAUUGUUAUUGUAUCAACUCAUGUCUUUUAGAAUUGUUUUUGUGUAUCAAAUUGCUUUCGAAAAUCUGUUGAAUGGAAGAAUAGAAUCUUCUUUGUUGUUUCUUUGGUUUUAAUUUAACUCAUGAUUUUAUUGUA